GACCAACUUGCCAGAAAAGAAAGAGAAGGCUUCUGGAAUAAAUUUUCAGGGUAUGUCUGCUGAUGCUUCGGCACACAAGAUGUGAAUGUGCUUACCUAAAAGACAACACUGGGAAGGCUAUAGUGCUGCUUCAAAAACAAUUCCAGGAGCUGAAAGAUCUAUCUCUAUCUAUGGUUUUGUUUCUUCAGCUUCGUGGAAAAUCUAGAAAAGCCAACACUGCUAAUCAGG